rnacentral:misc_RNA from 1 species
CGCACAUUGCGCCCCCUGGUAUUCCGGGGGGCAUGCCUGUUCGAGCGUCAUUAAAACCCUCAAGCUCUGCUUGGUGUUGGGUGCCAGGCCUCCCCAGGCCCACCCGUAACCCGUUGGCGGCAGGUGCCGGCCCCGAGCGUAGCAGAAACCUCGCUUUCGGGGCUCGUGGCGGCACCCGCCAGAGGAACCACCCAACUCCUAUAGUUUGACCUCGGAUCAGGUAGGGUUACCCGCUGAACUUAA